AGCGAACGCUGGCGGCAGGCCUAACACAUGCAAGUCGAACGAACCUUUCGGGGUUAGUGGCGGACGGGUGAGUAACACGUGGGAACGUGCCUUUAGGUUCGGAAUAACUCAGGGAAACUUGUGCUAAUACCGAAUGUGCCCUUCGGGGGAAAGAUUUAUCGCCGUUAGAGCGGCCCGCGUCUGAUUAGCUAGUUGGUUGAGGUAAUGGCUCACCAAGGCGACGAUCAGUAGCUGGUCUGAGAGGAUGAUCAGCCACAUUGGGACUGAGACACGGCCCAAACUCCUACGGGAUGCAGCAGUGGGGAAUCUUGCGCAAUGGGCGAAAGCCUGACGCAGCCAUGCCGCGUGAAUGAUGAAGGUCUUAGGAUUGUAAAAUUCUUUCACCGGGGACGAUAAUGACGGUACCCGGAGAAGAAGCCCCGGCUAACUUCGUG
rnacentral:rRNA from 1 species